UACAGAGGUCUCAACCGUUGUUCGGAUUCAUUGGGCGUAAAGGGUGCGUAGGUGGCGCUGUAAGUCGGGUGUGAAAUUUCGGAGCUUAACUCCGAAACUGCAUUCGAUACUGCGGUGCUUGAGGACUGGAGAGGAGACUGGAAUUCAUGGUGUAGCAGUGAAAUGCGUAGAGAUCAUGAGGAAGACCAGUGGCGAAGGCGGGUCUCUGGACAGUUCCUGACACUGAGGCACGAAGGCCAGGGGAGCAAACGGG
rnacentral:rRNA from 1 species